UGGAUCCAGACUUUGAUUAUGGCUCAGGAUGAACGCUAGCUACAGGCUUAACACAUGCAAGUCGAGGGGAAACGACAUCGAAAGCUUGCUUUUGAUGGGCGUCGACCGGCGCACGGGUGAGUAACGCGUAUCCAACCUGCCCAUCACUCGGGGAUAACCUUGCGAAAGUAAGACUAAUACCCAAUGACGUCUCUAGAAGACAUCUGAAAGAGAUUAAAGAUUUAUCGGUGAUGGAUGGGGAUGCGUCUGAUUAGCUUGUUGGCGGGGUAACGGCCCACCAAGGCUACGAUCAGUAGGGGUUCUGAGAGGAAGGUCCCCCACAUUGGAACUGAGACACGGUCCAAACUCCUACGGGAGGCAGCAGUGAGGAAUAUUGGUCAAUGGACGAGAGUCUGAACCAGCCAAGUAGCGUGCAGGAUGACGGCCCUAUGGGUUGUAAACUGCUUUUAUAAGGGAAUAAAGUGAGUCUCGUGAGACUUUUUGCAUGUACCUUAUGAAUAAGGACCGGCUAAUUCCGUGCCAGCAGCCGCGGUAAUACGGAAGGUUCGGGCGUUAUCCGGAUUUAUUGGGUUUAAAGGGAGCGUAGGCCGGAGAUUAAGCGUGUUGUGAAAUGUAGAUGCUCAACAUCUGCACUGCAGCGCGAACUGGUUUCCUUGAGUACGCACAAAGUGGGCGGAAUUCGUGGUGUAGCGGUGAAAUGCUUAGAUAUCACGAAGAACUCCGAUUGCGAAGGCAGCUCACUGGAGCGCAACUGACGCUGAAGCUCGAAAGUGCGGGUAUCGAACAGGAUUAGAUACCCUGGUAGUCCGCACGGUAAACGAUGGAUGCCCGCUGUUGGUCUGAAUAGGUCAGCGGCCAAGCGAAAGCAUUAAGCAUCCCACCUGGGGAGUACGCCGGCAACGGUGCAACUCAAAUGAAUUGACGGA
rnacentral:rRNA from 2 species